rnacentral:rRNA from 1 species
UACGGAGGAUGCGAGCGUUAUCCGGAUUUAUUGGGUUUAAAGGGUGCGCAGGCGGGAUUUUAAGUCAGCGGUGAAAUUUUCAGGCUCAACCUGAACACUGCCGUUGAAACUGGGAUUCUUGAGUAUGGAUGAAGUAGGCGGAAUUCGUUGUGUAGCGGUGACAUGCUUAGAUAUAACGAGGAACUCCGAUUGCGUAGGCAGCUUACUAAGCCAUAACUGACGCUCAAGCACGAAAGCGUGGGGAU